AUUGAACGCUGGCGGCAGGCCUAACACAUGCAAGUCGAACGAGUGGCGGACGGGUGAGUAAUGUCUGGGAAACUGCCUGAUGGAGGGGGAUAACUACUGGAAACGGUAGCUAAUACCGCAUACCAUCGGAUGUGCCCAGAUGGGAUUAGCUAGUCGGUGGGGUAACGGCUGACCUAGGCGACGAUCCCUAGCGGGUCUGAGAGGAUGACCAGCCAAACUGGGACUGAGACACGGGCCAGACUCCUACGGGAGGCAGCAGUGGUGAAUAUUGCACAAGGGGCGCAAGCCUGAUGCAGCCAUGCCGCGUGUAUGAAGAAGGCCUUCGGGUUGUAAAGUACUUUCAGCGGGGAGGCGUUACCCGCAGAAGAAGCACCGGCUAACUACGUGCCAGCAGCCGCGGUAAUUC
rnacentral:rRNA from 1 species